rnacentral:tRNA from 1 species
UGGCUCAGUGGUAGAGUGCUUGCCUCACAUGCAUGAGGCCCUGGGUUCAAUGCCCUG